rnacentral:misc_RNA from 1 species
AAGUCGUAACAAGGUUUCCGUAGGUGAACCUGCGGAAGGAUCAUUAGCACUUUUGUGGGAGAAGGGUUUUGUCGUUACGGCAGUCCUGAUCCCCGAUAAACACCUGUGAGCAUAGAUUGAUUUUGUGGAUGGGAGGGUGGUAGAGGUCCAGGCCUGCGGCCUAGCUGCGACCUAGGACCACUCCAAAGCUCUUUCCCUUUUUACUUUUUUAAAACCCCAACAACCAUAUCUAAAAACUUAUCAAAAGACUAAAACUUGCCUCUUGCCCACAAAGCAAGAGACAACCUUGAUAUUCUAACCAAAGAAACAAUUCUUAGCAACGGAUAUCUUGGUUCCC